AAAAUGACCUCAGCGGUCAAUUCGCGUCUAAUUGCACUUGCAUUAACGUGGGGUGCGGUUUUAAAGGUUCAAGUACGUCUCCAGCUGGCCAUUUUCACUCAGAAUGUUUCAAAAACAGUCUUUUUGACGGUAAUUUCGAAAUUUUCUAAGCAGGAAAUCAGUCAACCCGCCCAAGAUGGACUUUAGAAGAAAGCCAGACUAUGCGGACACGGCGUAUCGUGAAGCUGUUGGACGCUUGAGAAUUCUCAUGGCAGAAAGCUAUACACCGGUUAGAAGUAGAGUGUAUGGAACCAGAACAAUUCGCGAACUGGACAGUGCAGGCGAAGACACCGACAAUCAGUCGAUGAUAAGUGGAGGCAGCAGAAACUCCAGAUCGGGUAAAGCCUACUAUAGCUACAACUACACCCCAAUCCAGCCGCGAAAGUACCAAUACGCGCCCCUGAGAAGCAACAUUGGGACGCAAAGCGAAAAAAACAUCCCUCCAGAAGCCGCAAAGCACGAACCGCCCCAACCCGAACUGAUGUCCUUCAUUGAACGGCAAGAGGACUACAUUGAGCAGCUGGAAAAAGAGUCCAGAUUCUGCAAGGACGAAUUAUCAUCGCUGCUUUCCAAAGUCAAAGAAGUCAUCAGCGAAAACGAGCACUUGCACGAGAAACAAAAGUCCAAACUAAUCAAGUCGGUGUUCGAGCAUUUGGAGACUGAAACCGACACUGAAACUGAAUUCGAGCUGCAAGACAAAGGCGUAAGCUUCCAACUCACUCUUAGUCCAAUGCACUCACUAGAUAACAACACGCAGAUAUCGAAGAAAAAACGAAUCAUUGAAGGCCCUUCGAUUGUCUUCGAAUCGCGCAUAUCCGAACUGGAGGCCCAACUAACCCAGGCCAGAAUCGAUCUGAGAAAAGCGCAAGAAGACAACGAUUCUCUUAGAAGGAAACUGUCCGAUGGCUCACAUCAGGACAGCAACAGCUGCGAUAACUUCAAGCGGCAGCUGGACAACUGCAACAGGGACAAGGAGGAGUUACUGAACAAACUGAAAAGCCUGCAGGCAGCGCUUUCAGCGCUGCGCAACAAAGAGAACGACACGUGCGACCAAGCGAAGCGCAGCCUGGAUGUAGCUGAGCAGGCCCAGUACGAGAAAAGCGCCGCCGAGCUCGAAAUCAGACGCCUCAAAGACGAGCUGGAAAGGCAGCACUCCAAGCUACGCGAUUCCAUAGCCGAACAGGGCCGAAGAAUUGCCGAUGAGCGCUCAGCGGUUGAGCGCCGCUACACGCAGCAAAUAGAGCAGCUGACUACUGAGGUGGGGGUUCAAUGGGAGACGACCAACAAGCUCCAACUGGAGCUGGAUAAGCAGAGGCGCGAGGGCGCCGACUUGCGAAGAGAGUGCGUCCAAAAACAAGCUCUGAUCGACGAGCUGAAAAAGGAGAUGCAAAACAAAAUACUGAGCCUCCAAUCGGACAUCGGAGUGACUGGGGCGGAGAAGAGCGCCUUAGAACAGCAACUCUCCGCUCUAAACUUGGCCAAUGAGCGCACGGAACGACAGUACAAGCAGGAGAUCACGCGGCUGCAGGCCGAAAUUCAGUCUUUGCGCCAAAGAAUGGACAGGGCUGAUGCCGAUCUGAUACACAGCAGACGUGAGAAUAUUCGCCUGAAUGAGCAGAUUGCUUCGCUUGAAAAGGAGAUUAAUCUAAACGCCGCCCUCAGUGAAGAAAGGGCCAAAUCGACGACGCCCAGAACAGCAGAUAUUAUGGCCCUGCCUCCUCCCGCUCCUAAAAAGGACGACAGAGAGAAGGAACUGACCUCCAUGAUCCAGGACAUGGAAAACAAGCAUGGGUCGAGCCAUCAGCAGUCCGCUGCCGCAAAGUCAGAAAUAAGCGCGUCCGAUUCGCUGACUGUUCAAUCGACCAAACGCAAGGAACCAAUUAAGAUCGACAUUAAUGUCAAAGUAAUACCCAAAGUACGAAAGGGAGGAAAUACGGGAACUACAAACUAGCCUAGUUCGACUAAACAACAAAUUCAGCCAGGCACAAUAUAGCAAAACCAAUUCAAAAGAUGAAGAUCAAAGAACCGCACUUCCUUCUACCUCACCUCCGAAGAUGCGACGAUCCGAAAGCCGAUCGUCUUUAAAGCAGCGAAGUCGCACAUCUUCGCGGCAGGCCAGCCAGGAGAAACUGUCCCCGGCUUCCACAAGUCUUCAACAGUCGCCAAAAAAUGCACCUCAAGCGGCUAAUAAAGAGCCCAAAUCCCCCACUGAUCCUCAAACGGAGGAAAAAGGAAAAAAUCACCAGCAAGACCUGAGGGCGCGGUCCCAAGCACCUGAGCCCCUCCAACAGUAUACAGCUGAGGAACCAUAUGGCAUUAAUCAGGAAUACCCGCCUGAUCCUCAUCAGCAAUACUUAGAGGAUCC
rnacentral:misc_RNA from 1 species